AGGCCGGGGGUGCAUCACACAUAUAAAAGCAUCGCAGGUCACUCCUGUUCUUCAUUUUGUUAUACUGUGGAGCGUUGUGGGAUCUCUUUCUCCCUGGUUGUGUAUAUGAUGGUCAGGCCUACAGAAACAUGCUAAUUACUUUGCUGUAGCUUAAUAAAGCUUUGACUGACCUGCCUCACGAAAAACGCAGAGUACAAGUGGUUUUUCCGCGACAAUUCUUGGUGCCGUGACUCGGAUCCACGACACGGAUUGAGGGGAGAGAACCGCGGACUGCCCCCUCCGAACCUCGAGGCGCCAAACUCAAGAGGAGAGCAGGAAUGGAGGAAGAAAGAUCUCCCAUUAUUCUCAGACCUCGAGGAAAUCUAACUCUCCCAGCCUACCCCUUAAGACAGAUGCCGGGAAUCGGCCCAAGCGGACAGAACAUAAUUACUGUACGUGCACCUUGGACACCAGGCCCGAGAAGCCUUGCCACAACCACCAGAAGUCCCCUGUCACAACCUCGAACCAGGAGAUUGGGUUUACGUAAAGGUCUAUCAACGGAAAAAUGCUCUUCAACCUCGGUGGAAAAGACCUUUUCAAGUACUUUUGACCACUAAUACUGCUGCUUGUUGUCAAGGGCAUCAGACCUGGACUCACGCUUCACACUGCAAGAAGGUAUCACCCCCAUUAAACCCUGAAGCAGCAGUAUUUCAACCAAGAUUAAGAACUCUCCCUGAGGCCAAGGACAAAGAACCUCAGGACUUCACUCAAGCAAGUGAGGAGCAUCAGGUCUCAAGUGCUAAUAGAGAACUCUCCCCUGAACACAAUCCUUCAAUCCAACCAGAUUCAUCAAUUAGUGAACAAACCAUUCCAGCAUCAAAUACUGCUAAAAAGGACCUACCAUCACAGACUGAGAAGGAUGCACCACAGCAACACCGUUACGCCCUUCGGGAGAGGAAGAAGGCCUCUACCUAGUUCCUGGUUCCCGAGGUGGGGUUGGUUGUUUAUGAUCUGGGUGUCCCUCAGUCUUUUACUUUUCAUUAUUUUGCACAAUUUAAGGAACACACCGCUGCAAAAAAACUUGAAAAAUCAAACUGAGCCCUCCCUUAGAUCCAAGAGAUCACUCCCACGUUGGCAUUAUCACCAAAAUGCUUUUCUUCAAUUAUCUUACCAGUAUGUAAAGGAUUUAAAUGUUUCCAGAUGUUGGAUAUAUUCCCACUUGCCUCUUAGUACGCUGAUGGGGGUACCCAUGGUUGCUUUAUCCCUUAACUGGACCGACUUUUGUGAUAUGUAUGACCCACAGCACAACGAAAGUGAAUGCCAAGGAUUUUGGUCAAAUCGGACCUUCUCCCAACGCCCUCCUCCCUCUUCUGAUCCUGCUUCAUUUCCACGUAUCCAGUUAGCCAGAAACAUUCCUGGACUUUUGUGUUAUAAAUAUAAUGAUGCCAGAAGGGUAGGAACUAGUACCUGUAAUUAUACUAUUGAUUGUUCUUUAAUAAACAAUAAUGUAAGCUUUAAAAUUUAAGGGAUACGGACACAUAUCCUUUAACUGUUCAGCCAAUGCACCAACCGUCAUUUUAAAUAGUACUCAUGCGCAACACAGGAAAUGGAUGGCAUAUAAUGGAACUUAUUAUAUUUGUGGAGAUCGUGCAUAUUUUUGGCUACCUGACAACUGGUCAGGAUCAUGUUAUCUUGGAGAUAUUACACCAGCUAUUCGACAUUUGUCUUCCCUUUCUUUCAGAACAGUGAGAAAAAAGAGAGAAAUCACUGAAGAAGAACAAUUUGGUGCUAUACUGUUUCCUAUGUAUGGUAUAGGCAGGACAAUUCAAGAAGUUAGGUUGUUGGCUAAUAUAUUAGAACGAGUAAGUAAUGAUACUGCAGAUUCUUGGGACAGUCGGUCUAAAGAGAUGGUAGCACUGCAAACCAUGGUUUUACAAAAUCGCGUAGCUCUAGACUUCACUUUAGCCAGUAAAGGAGGAGUCUGUGCUUUGAUAGGAAAAGAAUGUUGCACCUAUAUUCCAGGCAACUCUGAGGAAAUACACGAUUUGGCCAAUCAUAUUUGUAAGGAAGCGGCCAAGCUCCACAAAUCUAGCGAAAUGGAGUUUUGGUCCUCGGUUUGGUUCUUUAUUUGGUUCAUUAGGAUCUACUGUUAUACGUGGGCUCUUGAUAUUUUUUUAUUGUAAUCCUUUUGAUUUGCAUUAUAUACCUUUGCUUUCGCUGCUGUUUUUUUGCCUGUCCCAACCAAACCCAGCAAUAAACAAUGUCAUGACGCUACAAAUGAUGCAACAAGAAAGAGAGAGAAGGCCUACGGAAGAUGAGUAUGAAGAAUUACAGGAAGUUUUCUGGGAUUUUAUGAAUAUAAGAGUAUAGAAAUAGUGAGACUAUUAAAGUCUCAAAGGGGGGAUGUGUGGAGGAAAAUUAAAAAAGGGAAGUAAAAAUAUUGCUCAAGUACAGUUAGCAGAUAAGGGAAGUAGAUAAGAUUGCUUAAAACAUAAUUCAUGGAAAAGCUGAUGCUUUUGCUAAUUUUACAGUUUUCGACGGUUAGUUGCAAGGAUGUGUGGAAAGUACCUAGAGCUUUGGGUGGAACCUAUAUCAUGAUUGGUUAUGUAAAGAUGAUCUUGCGCAACUAAAAUGUAUAAGAACUUUUGCAUUCCUUGUAAGUGGGGGGAAGAAGGAAGAAAUUCCCUUUUCCCCCCC